CUACCAAAAACUGUGGACUCUGAGUGAUAAUGAUAUGUCAAUCUGUGCUUUUCCUGCAGGGACUGAACAAGAGCAGUGUGUACACAUGUGGGAGUGCCAGCAGCACCAGCGCAAUCCAGAUGUGCCCAGGCCCAUCUGUGCAUGAAAAUGCAGAUACACCCACACUAUUUAUCAAUUAGUGUCUGCUGCUGCCAGUGUCACCAGUUCUCUGCCUGAUGAAUGACGCUGGGCUGGACACGCUACACCCCAAGAUAUCCUGCUGCACUCAGAUACAAGACUGAAGAAGCAAGAACAUUAUAAAAAAGAAAGAAUGAAAAGAAAGAAGAAAAGCAACUGAACCCAGAGAUGGAUCCCAAAGCUGAAGAAUUGGUUUAAUUAAAUUGAAAGCUCUGGUGCUUGUGGUAAUUGCUAUGAAGGAAUCCAUAUCCCAUCAGAACCCUCUCCCCUGGAGUUUGCUCCCUCUACUUUCUCUGCAGCAGGUACUAAAAUGGCUUUUAUCUUUAGGGAGAUGCAGCCCACAGGGCCCAGAAAUUAUUGUGGGGUCAACUGUCUGGAGUGGAGCUUGGGGAGUAGUAGCAAAUAAUUCGGUCCAAACCUGGCUUUGACCUUGAAUUUCCCCAACUUAGACUUCACACUUCUUUUUCUGCAAAUGAGGCCUCAUAUGCCCUGAUUUGCAGAGACACUUAAAAGUAGGCAGUGCUUGCUUUUGUGGCCCCUCUGCUACUUCUGCUCUACACAGGGCGAGCUGGGUUUAUAACACCACCUAAAUCACAGGCCACGCUGGGCUCCUCAUGCCCUGAGCUACCCCACCUACUCUUUGGGCGUCAUUUGGCUCUGGGAAAUACUAUCUGUCAUCGCCGCUUUUUUUUUUUUUUCUUUUUCUUUUUUUAGACAGAGUCUCACUGUGUUGCUCAGCCUGGAGUGCAAUGGCGCGAUCUCGGCUCACUGCAACUGCCGCCUCCUGGGCUCAAGUGAUCCUCCUGCCUCAGCCUCCUGAGUAGCUGGGAUUACAGGCGCCUGCCACCACACCCAGCUAAUUCUUGUAUUUUUAGUAGAGAUGGGGUUUCACCAAGUUGGCCAGGCUGGUCUCAGAUUCCUGACCUCAAGUGAUCUGCCUCGGCCUCCCAAAGGGCUGGGAUUACAGGCGUGAGACACUGCACCCAGCCCUGUCUGUCCCUUUUAAUGCUAAUAGAGAAACUUGAUCCCAGAAGUAGAUAAAAUCAGCUUUUAAACAACGACAAAUGCAACAAGCAAUGGCAGGCCACAGGAAGCAAUUAGAUAUAGUGAGUGGGAAGAGCCCUGAAGAGACCUGGGUUUGAGUCCCAACCACACCAUAUACCAGGUUCAUAACUUUGAGAAACUCUGAGUGUUGAGUUUGAAUUGUGCUUUGGGGUCAGCUGGGUCCUGCCUGAUUGUCCAGGUUUCAAAACUAUUCUGAAGCACCUAGAUCAAAACAGGUUGUUUCCAUACUUUCAAAAACACUAUUUUGUUUACCAAUUAUCAAGCAUCUGUUGAGUGUCUAUCCCAGGCUAAGUACUGUACUAUAUUGGUCAGGCAAUGCAGCACCUUAAAAGUUGAAGAGAAGCCUUUAGAACCAUUAUUCAUUCAUUCAAUCGAAUGGUCAAUUGGCAUCAUGAAUCAAACAAUUAGGAAUAGGGUAGCAAUACGAAGGGUGUGUAUGGGAAGGACCAGGUGGCAGGAGAAUAGCAAGAAGACAGGACUGGGGUCAUUUUCAGUCCUGGGCAAAGAACUGAGCAGGCAGACAAGAUCAGUGGGGUCCUUCCUAGGUAUUUAUGAAUCUCUGAAUCUCAAACUGAAUACCUUGUGUAGCAGAAGCGAGUGUAUACAGACCCUAGCAGAUACACAUGUGAACCUGGGUAGUCCCUGAAGAACAGGACAGGGCUCAGCUGCAGGUACCAUGCACUAUGACCCCGCCAGCCACACACAUGGGCACUAACAUUCUGGGCAGUCAUCUAGAAGUCAGUAGCCAGUGCAGGAUGGGGGUCCCAAAGGGCUUGGGGAAUCCACAAACCACAUGGUCACACAGGUCCUAACUAUAACAUGAAAAGGGAUGGGUGGGAAUAAGAAAAAGUCAUUAGAAAAGAGGAGCUCUAAAAUGGCUCAGAAUCAAGAAAAAGUUGACUCAGUACCAAUGUGUGGCUCUGCAGACAUCAAAUCCC